AUGGCAACAAAGAGUGGUACCAGAUGAAGUUGUAUACCAUAGUUUCUACUCCAUUCAGCAAGCAAAGACCGGCAGACAAUCUUUGAAGAUGAUGUCCGCUGGCAACACACAGAGGCAGAAAUUUCCACCAUAGACCAUAGCAGCACUUGCAAUUAGAAUUCCCGCCGACGUGAGUGUCACAUCACACAAACUGGUAACUCGCUCCUCUACCAGGAGAAAAUAACUACAUGGCACCUUAGGUGAACAGGAACUACAGCAUGCAAGAAGCUCAAACUGUCACCACCUACCUGAGGAUUGGAACCUGUGACCUCUUCCUUGUGAGCUGUAUCAAGCACUACACUACCAAGCCACUCUUUCCACUGCAACACCGAAGAGGAG